UGGGAAGCACCCAGGACUGUAUCCAGCCCUGCCCUGUGGUCACUGGGGGACCCUGGGCACGUCUCCUCUCUCUGCCCCUCAGGGGCAGGCAGGAAGGUCUAGCUCCUGGGAAAUGCCCCAGAAGUGUAGGCCCUGAGACAGGGGAAGAGGCCCCAGGGGAGGUGGCCCUGCAGUGGCCUUGCCUCAGAUCCGGCUGCCCUACUGGCCUGUGGGUCGCUGCCUGCUGGCCACCUAUGAUACACACACCCACGUCCUAUACGUGAGGGUAGGAGACAGCCUAGCACCCAGGAAGUCCAGGCUGAUGGCACCUGCUGAGUGCCUGCUGUCAACUCUGGGCUCGCUGGGGCAGAGGGGCAGGCUACUGAGCCCCUCUGAGCCACUGGGUAACAAGACCAGAUAGAGCCGGCACAUGGAAGAGCCAGAAAAAAAAGAGCCUGGUCACACUGCUCGGAGCAUCAGGCCCCACCAAAGGGACUUAUGGGUGAGGGACGGGGAACAUGCGGAAUGCACCAGAAAGGGUUAUAAGAGCAGGGCCUGGGCAGGCACGGGGCCUGUCCUGUGGCUGCAGGUAUAUUAAUAGUUCCUGGGCCCUGGGCGGGCAGUGCCCACAUGCCUUCAAGCCUGUGUGGCCUGCAGGAAGGCAGCCCAGCGUCCACUGGGAGAGGAGGCCUCUGAGUUCCUGCUGAACCACUCAACAGCUUAAAAUACAACCAGCCCCUCUCCCUGCCCAGCCAGCUGCUGGGGGAGGGCUGAAAUCCUACCCUCUCCCCCAGCCCAGGCACCCGACCAGGGCCCAGGAGGGAGAGUACCGGCCGUUGGGGCUCAACUGGCUGCUAGUAAGGACGCUGGACUGCAGUAGGAGGCGGCGGCCAGGGGAAGGGCCGCGCUCACAGCAGCAGCGCCCAGGCCAGCUGAGGCAGAGGAGAGGAGCUGCCCCUGCCCGCACAGAGAGCAUCAGCUGCUGAGGGCAGGGACCGUCUGUGCUCGGCCGUUUCCCAGCACCCAGAACAGGGCCCAGCGUGGAGCUGAACGCGGGAGCACCUGGGGAGAAGGUCACACAGGAAGCUGGACGAGGGGCAGAGACUCCAAACCCUGUGGACACAGGCUGACUGGAGGAGCAGGAGCAGCUCACCAAGGCGAUACCCACUGCUGAGUCCAGCAGCCAGGGUCUGACAGAGAUGACCUCUUAGAUAACCAGAAAGCAAGAGCAGCUUCGCAGUCCGGUGGAAGCCAACCUUAGAGUUGCAUCUGCCUCACCGCCCAAGUUUCUCCGGGACGUCCCGGGCCGAGGGAAGGGGUCCAAAGGUCGUAUAAAAGAAGACUGAUUGCAAAGCCCUCUCGACGCAUGGUGCAAGAUCCUGCCCCUGACAUUUCAACUGUUAAACCCUCCGGAAUUCAGAGGUCUGGCAUCAGGAACACCAUGAGAAGUCCUUAAAGGUAGAUCGCUGAUUCACAGGGGAACGAGUUGAGGCAAGGGUGAGUGAGUCAGUGCUUGGAACUUAGUCACCACAUUCAGUUCUGGAAACUUCUGGAGGUGUAGCCUUUGGGGAUCCUUGUCUCUGAGUAAAGGAAACCAAGGCUGUGGUCUUCAGAAACUCAUCAUCUUCGUCACUGGGACUAUCUGGACAAAAACAGGUGAAAACAUCAAGGUGUUUUAUAACUGUGCUUUCAAAAGUAAAGAUCU